rnacentral:lncRNA from 1 species
GCUCCACCUCGAGUGGGAACGCUCCAGCCAGCCUGGCUCUCAUCAGGCCCAGAGUAUCUCCGCCUCUAGCACAGGAGCCAGCAGCUCAGCCAUUGUCCUGUGACCAGGCAGUGACACGCCUGCUCGGCUUCCGUAAGGAGGACGACCCUUGGAUCUCCUGCUGCCCAGCUCCUGUGUGCAUCCUUGUCAUUGAGGACUCAGAUUCAGCCAGCGCCGUAUCUCCUCAUAUGCACCCCGUCCUGCCCCUGCGCAGCUGUCUCUCAGCCCCAGGCCAGCCAGUGGGGCCAUCGGCCACUCUCUUGCCUGCCUCUCAGUCUGGAUCGGUCCUCCUGCCAAGCCUCCCACCUCCAGAGUCUUGCAAGCUGGGCUUGGUGAGCUGUCUCCUUUGCUCUUGACUCGGGAAGCUCUUCCUGACAAGAAAGCUGCAGAGGCGACGUUGUCUACUUCCCACCUCCCCACCACAGCACAUCACCAGGCACAGCUACGGGCUGCCCUACAGCUGGCAAAGCCGAGCUUGACC